rnacentral:rRNA from 1 species
UGCCAGCAGCCGCGGUAAAACGUAGGAGACAAGCGUUAUCCGAAUUUACUGGGCGUAAAGCGCGUGCAGGUGGUUCGGCAAGUGGAAUGUGAAAUCUCCCGGCUCAACUGGGAGGGGCCGUUCCAAACUGCCGGACUAGAGGACGGUAGAGGGAGGUGGAAUUCCCGGUGUAGUGGUGAAAUGCGUAGAUAUCGGGAGGAACACCUGUGGCGAAAGCGGCCUCCUGGACCGUACCUGACGCUCAGACGCGAAAGCUAGGGGAGUGAACGGGAUUAGAAACCCCGGUAAUCCUAGCCGUAAACGAUGUGGACUGGGUGUCGGUGGGGUAAAAGCCAUCGGUGCCGAAGCCAACGCGAUAAGUCCACCGCCUGGGGACUACGGCCGCAAGGUUAAAACUUAAAGGAAUUGGCGGGGGA